UAAUUUGUUUGAGGUAAAUCCUCAUAUAAUUAUGAUAAAGUUAUAUUUAAUUAUUUAGAAACACACGUAAAAAACUAUUAUAUGAAUAAUAAAUUUUUAA
rnacentral:pre_miRNA from 1 species